rnacentral:rRNA from 1 species
UACGGAGGAUGCAAGCGUUAUCCGGAUUCAUUGGGUUUAAAGGGUGCGUAGGCGGAUAUGUAAGUCAGCGGUGAAACUCACAGGCUCAACCUGUGCCGUGCCGUUGAAACUGUGUAUCUGGAAUGCGGAUGCUGUGGGAGGAAUGUGUAGUGUAGCGGUGAAAUGCAUAGAUAUUACACAGAACACCGAUUGCGAAGGCAUCUCACAAAGCCGUUAUUGACGCUGAGGCACGAAGGUGUGGGGAUCAAA